GCACUGCUGACGAGUCCCAAACAGGACGGAAUAGCUGUCCAGUGC
rfam:Echinostoma caproni strain Egypt genome assembly, scaffold: ECPE_scaffold0000776